CCUAACACUACAGGAUGGGCCCGCGGCGCAUUAGCUAGUUGGUAAGGUAAUGGCUUACCAAGGCGACGAUGCGUAGCCGACCUGAGAGGGUGAUCGGCCACACUGGGACUGAGACACGGCCCAGACUCCUACGGGAGGCAGCAGUAGGGAAUCUUCCGCAAUGGACGAAAGUCUGACGGAGCAACGCCGCGUGAACGAUGAAGGCCUUCGGGUCGUAAAGUUCUGUUGUUAGGGAAGAACAAGUACCGUUCAAAUAGGGCGGUACCUUGACGGUACCUAACGAGAAGGCCACGGCUAACUACGUGCCAGCAGCCGCGGUAAUACGUAGGUGGCAAGCGUUGUCCGGAAUUAUUGGGCGUAAAGCGCGCGCAGGCGGUCUUUUAAGUCUGAUGUGAAAGCCCACGGCUCAACCGUGGAGGGUCAUUGGAAACUGGGAGACUUGAGUGCAGAAGAGGAGAGUGGAAUUCCAUGUGUAGCGGUGAAAUGCGUAGAUAUAUGGAGGAACACCAGUGGCGAAGGCGACUCUCUGGUCUGUAACUGACGCUGAGGCGCGAAAGCGUGGGGAGCAAA
rnacentral:rRNA from 1 species